rnacentral:rRNA from 1 species
AUACGGAGGAUGCGAGCGUUAUCCGGAUUUAUUGGGUUUAAAGGGUGCGCAGGCGGCGCGUCAAGUCAGCGGUCAAACUGCGGGGCUCAACCCCGUACCGCCGUUGAAACUGGCGUGCUUGAGUCUGUGGGACGGCGGCGGAAUGCGCGGUGUAGCGGUGAAAUGCAUAGAUAUCACGCAGAACUCCGAUUGCGAAGGCAGCUGCCGACCACAUCACUGACGCUCAUGCACGAAAGCGUGGGUAUCGAACAGGAUUAGAUACCCGGGUAGUCCACGCAGUAAACGAUGAUUACUAGCUGUCCGGGGCGAGUGAGCCCUGGGGGGCACAGCGAAAGCGUUAAGUCAUCCACCUGGGGAGUACGCCGGCAACGGUGAAACUCAAAUGAAUUGACUGGG